rnacentral:rRNA from 1 species
AUUGAACGCUGGCGGCAGGCCUAACACAUGCAAGUCGAACGGUAACAGGAAGACGCUUGCUUCUUUGCUGACGAGUGGCGGACGGGUGAGUAAUGUCUGGGAAACUGCCUGAUGGAGGGGGAUAACUACUGGAAACGGUAGCUAAUACCGCAUAACGUCGCAAGACCAAAGAGGGGGACCUUCGGGCCUCUUGCCAUCGGAUGUGCCCAGAUGGGAUUAGCUAGUAGGUGGGGUAACGGCUCACCUCGGCGACGAUCCCUAGCUGGUCUGAGAGGAUGACCGGCCAAACGGGAACUGGGACACGUUCCAGACCCCAACGGAAGGCAGCGGUGGGAAAUUUUGCACAAGGGGCGCAAGCCUAAGGCGGCAAGGCCGGGUGUAGAAAGAAGGCCUUGGGGUGGAAAAGUACUUUCAGCGGGAAGAAAGGGAGUAAAGUUAAAACCUUUGCUCAUGAACGUAACCCGCAGAAAAGGCACGGCCAAAUUCGGU